AUGGAGCGUGAACAGCCGAAAGGCCUCCACGAUGCUGAGUCCUAUAGCCCAACGAGGGCUCCCGACGCAAGACCCACGGCCUUACUUCCGGAAGCCCUGAACAGCCAACAGGGCCUCCACGAUGCUGGAACCUAUAGCUCAGCGAGGCUCCGGGAGCUCGAUGGAGGAACGAGAGUCACCCAGGAAGGAACACACCAGGCUAGAUGGCCUGUAGAACAAAUGGGUACAAAGGAGACAACAACAUAGACCCAAGCUGCACCAUUGCUGUGAGAUCACCAUCUUCUCCCUUGUUGGGUUCGGAAGUCGGAAACCUCCCUGGAAACUGUCCUUAAGUUGUUGGGCAGUUAGAAUGCCGGUCUCCCUCUUGCACUCUGCUGACCCUCUUGUUGGCCCAGUAUCUACCUUUUGCCUUCUCUCUGGCUGACAGGUCAGUUGCCCUGAGCAGUUCUGUUUUUUGUUUUUGCUUUUGGUUUUUUGAGUCAGGGUCUCACUGUAUACUUGAGACUGACCUGGAACUCACUAUGUAGCCCAGGCUGGUCUUGAACUCACAGCGAUCCUCCUGCCUCAGCCUCCCGAGUGCUGGGAUGACAGGCGUGUGCCACCACGCCCGGCCCGUUGUGAUGUUCAUCUAACAUAAAACAUUUUUUGUGCCACAUAGAUAUUGAAAAUGAAAUUGGAGCACAGUCCACUCUUUGGCUCUCACCAUCCAUAUAUACUCUUGUGCACACGUUUGAAUUUCUUCAUAAUAAUUAUUUAUUUAUUUAUUUAUUUUGGUACCGGGGAUCGAACUCAGGACCUUGCACUUGCGAGGCAGGCAGCAGAACCACUGAGCUAAAUCCCUGGCCCUUCUUCAUCAUCAUUAAAUCUAUGUUGCAAUUGAAGAAGAUAAAAAGGAUCUCUGCUGUCCCCCAGUGUGAGCAGAUGCGUAUUCCCAGUACUGGUAGUGAUUGUAUUGCCAUCUCAGGCCGUAGUGAUUACUCUUCAGGUUAGUCAUGCUCUUUCUGAGUCUUGUUACCUAACAACCAAAUUACAUAUUAUUUAACCUCUAAUGACAUACAGUAUAGAAAAGUAAGAUAGGAAAUACAUAUGUGUAAAUGUGUACAAAAAAUUGUACAAAAAUGUACAAAACUUUUCUUUUUACAUGGAGUCACUGUGUAGUCCAGGGUGGUCUUGAACUCACUAUUUAGCGCAGCCUGGACUUGAAUUCACAGCAUUCCUCUUUCCUUGGCCUCCGAAGAGCUGAGAUUUCGGGCAUGCACCACCACAUCUGGCCUAUAAAAAUGUACAAAACUUCUGCAUUUCUUAUUACAAUACUGUGAUUGUUCUUGAGGUUAUAAUUGAUAUCUAUGGCUUAUUUUCUCAAUUCUUUCUCUUUUUCCUUUGAUGCCUGUUCUCUGUUGCUGCUAUUCUGUGUUCAUGUAACUGGUAAAGUGACUCAAAACUUCACUCUCCAAAGGUCUAUUCUUUUAUUAUCCUGCCUUUUAAAAUUUUCAAUUAAUCUUUUCUGUGCGGCGUAGAGGUACUACUUGGACGUUACAGACUUCUCCCUUCUUGCGUCAUUUGUAUAGUAGUACCACAUUUUCUCUUCAGUCAUUGAAUUAAUUACUCCAGUCGGUGGGACUUCCCCCAACUUCCGUUGUGUUAGGGACCCAAAAUUGCCAGGAGGCUAUCUCGUCUCCCAUGUAAUGGAACAGUAACUGCCAUCUAGGGGAACAGCCCUCUUCAGAGACCAAGAUCUCCAAACUUGCCGUAAUCUGAAUCAGUGCCGUUGGAAGCAGAGUUUUCUUCAGUGGACCAGUUUCAUUUUCAUCCAUCCUUGAACCUGGUUUUCUGGCUGAAGGGAGCCAGUACCAUCUAAGGCUCUCUGAUCCAGCGCGUGUACCUAGUCCUGUUGGUGGAAUCCUUUCCUUUCAGAGUAUCGUUUCCCAUCCGGCCCUGUAACCGAGCGUUGGGAGAGCCAUUCCCUCAGCUGCUUCUAGCGUGUGUGAUAAGGCUGCAGAGAUGUGCUUGUUGUUGCCCCCCUGUAAGAGGAGGUGUACUCCUUGCAUUGUGUGAGAUGUUAUAUCCACACCACUCCAUGUUGGAAGAGAAGUGUGGUGUAAUUUACUGUCAUGAAAAUUACUGCCCUUCUCUGGGAGGACCUUCCUCCUGUCAGGCUCUUGAUCUCGAUGAGAGGACCACUCAGCGUUUUUUUUUUUUUAAAACUACUCUUUACAGCCUUCUACCAGAAGUGGACAUAAUGCAUCUCUAGUGUCCGUCUAUCCAUCCGUCCUUCUUUCUUUCCUUCCUUCCUUUUUUUUUUUUUUUGAGACAGGUUCUCAUUAUGUAGUUCAGGCUGGCGUUAAACUCAUUGUAUAGCCCAGGCUGGCCUCGAAUUCACAGAGAUCUCCCUGCCUCAGCUUCCCAAGUGCUGGCAUUACAAGUGUGUGCCACCAAAUCCAGCUCUUCUGUUUUUCUAAAGAGAUGGUAUCUCCUGUCAUCCAAGCUUCCCUUGAAUUCCUGGACUCAAGCGGGUCCUUCUUCCUCAGCCUCUCAAGUAAUUGGAAUGGGAAGCACGUGAUCACACGUGGCCACUCUUUUUUCCCUGAUAAACACAAGACAAAACUCUCACAGCUACAUUAUGCCGAGUAAUGGCACUGUUGGGGUCUGUUGUGGCCCAGACUCAUAGAUGCAACACUUUCUAUGUCUUUUCUUUCCCACUAUUACACUUGUUUUCUGUAAUGAGACUGUAUCCUGGUAUGCAGUGGAAACACUGAGAUGCCAACAGUUCUAUAUCCACGGCUGUAUUUUGUCAAACAAAAUCCAAACAUACCUGCCAACCAAUACCUGUCAGUCGUCCGCUAAAUAUCCAAUGACUCCCAGCAGGCCAUCGAGUCUCCAUGUGAAAUUAAGUGGAUAAGUGGCCCUUGGCAAAAUAUUAACCCAGGAAGCAUGAGUCACUCAGAGUACCUCUGCUCUUGUACCUAGACAGGUAUAGGACAAACUGUAAGGAAUAAGCCGAGAGAUCUUUUAUGAUAUACUGAACAUUUCUCCUCCAUCCUCCAAAAGGUUCUCUUAAGUUCAGAGUUGCUGGGCCUGUUUCCUGGCUAGCGUUGACAAAGGGGUCACCUGAUUGUGGAGUGGGUCCCAAACCCUUGUCAUAUACUUAUGUUCCUCUUGCUAUUUGUCAUCCUGCUCAAACUUUACAUCUGGUGGCCACAUCAGUCUGCCUCACCUAAUUUAUACAACUAUACAAGCAGUGUGACAAAUGCUAUCUAUCUCACUAUAUUUUUAAGAUAUUGAAGCAUCACAAACUGGAAUGUAUUAUAAUUUUAAAAUUAAUUUCAUUUUAUUUAUUUGUUUUUUGAGUAUGAGGUAUUGAACCCAGGGC
ensembl:lincRNA